UUUGGAUAGAGAUCAGUGACAUACCAAGGUCGAAUUGCACAUUUUCGUGUAACCUGAAUUAUCUUGUGGUUACAAGAUGGCAACAUCAACCAUUACAACUCUUCUUGACCAAGAUAUGGAGACCAGAAAGGCAUUCAUGUAGAGAUGCACAGGUGCUGUUCAGACAACUACACUGAUUUGCAACAACAUUCAGAUGUUUUGAUGAGAUUGACUUAUCUGUUUACUGCUUAUGGACCUAUUGGAAACUAUGUUUAACGCAGGAUGGUAAACACAAGUUGAAGUGACAGUAACUUAUUUUAUCUUUAUUUCUUGCCAGUAUAUGUAAAUUUUACAAAUUCAAAUGAAAUUAUGAAGUUAUGAAAGCUGGAAAGCCUGUAUUUAACUAAUGUCACUCUUGAGAAAACUGGCUCAAUGCAAAGUAUACACCAAGACACUUCUUGUUUAACUUUUCCAAGAUCCUGAUGCAGGUAAAAUACCAAAAAUGUCAAUAACUGAUUUAUUUUUCAAGUCGGAACAGCCUGCAGGAAGUCAAAAAAGCUGCAAAGCAACUAGCUGUAACACAAUUACCACUCAAAAAAAUUGUAUUUUUAUGGUCUAAACAUAUGCACAGUUAAUAAAGUCAAAUUUCACCUGACAAAACAUCAUCUGCCAUGAAAAUGGCAAUAAAAUGUGUGAAAACCUUUUGAUGCGAUGAGUAAAUCUGCGUUGUCGAUGAACCGAGCGAUGCUGAAUAAGUGAAAUUGUCUAUAAAGUUAACUAGACAUACACUGCACUUGUUCAUUGAAUGAAAUCAACCAUGUAACGUAGAGGUGUUUGAAACACGCGCUUGUGGGCACCCGACUUACAAGUAGACCCAUGAAUUGGCCAUAAUUUUACAGUGGGUAUGUAUCAACGACUUAGUUUAGUUGCUGGCCAUGCUACCAAGUUAAAGGUUUCACAGCCGUAAAACUCUCGGGGAGGGUGGGGCUAACGCCAGUAAGCAUGUUCACUCACAUUAUCAUAUCUUCUAUUUGGCAUGAACAAAGGAUGAAUGGCAACAUUUUUCCAUGAAAUAAAA
rnacentral:lncRNA from 1 species